AUACUUACCUGGCAGGGGAGAUACCAUGAUCAAGAAGGUGGUUCACCCAGGGCGAGGCUUGGCCAUUGCACUCCGGCCACGCUGACCCCUGCGAAGCCUUUGCCAAGCCUCUUUUGCUCCAGU
rfam:Danio rerio chromosome 4, GRCz11 reference primary assembly.